GAUCCAACCUGUGUUCCAGUGCUCCCAAGAUGCUGCUGAUCCCAUUGCCCCAAAGUGGAAACUCCUGGAAUUCUUUGUCUAUAACUCAUUUAAUAAAUUUAAGAGCAUGCAUCAGUGAUCUUCAUCCUCAUAGAAAGUGAACAGCACCCAUUUUAUUUCCUUCACCCAGCCCCACACAGAAAUAGGAUGCCCUUUAAGAUUUUAUCUCCAGCUUUUCUUCAAUUUUAAAGAUAUUUUCCUGGGCCUAGGCUUUUUAAUUUUUCUGAAGCAAAAAUGAAUAAAUACUGUGUCUAUGGUGGAUAAAAAAAGAUAAGUAAUCUUACUAGUUUGCCAAAUAUACACUUCCAAAAAAAAAAAAGGAGGCAUUUACUGUCUUAAGUCAGGCUAAAAAUAAUAUUAUUUUAGGGUGUAUAGGUAAUUGAAGAAAUCAAGUUUUCCCUUCACUUACUAUCUGGAUAAUUGCCUAAUUUUCCCACUGUCAUCAUCCUGUCCUGCUAGUGUUGCUUUAUACACAACCUGGUCUUCCCUUUUGUUGUAUUUAUUUUUUCUUUAAGACACCCUUCAAAUAUUAAAGAAAAAGAGAGAGGCUAUACAAUUUGCAUCAUGACUUAAAACUAUUAGAAGAUAGGAAUUCAGUAGUUGAGACAAUGCGUUUCAAAACUCCAAAAGAUAACAGGUUUAAAGAAAUUGGCAUAUGUUAGUGAUUAUGCAAUCAUUCAUUUCCCACAGAUUUCUUUUUAUAGGAAACUUUGGAAAAUCCCAGAAGAACUGACCGAGUCAUUUCAACCACAACAGGUUUCUUUCAACAUCAAAAUCAUGGGUAGGAGUGGGCGAGGAAUAAUUUUCUUUCUUUUUUUUUUAAAGGCAUGGACAGCCUGGUUCUGAGUGUGCAAAGCUGUGGCUUCCCCUCCUAUAGACGCCUUCUGAACAGCAAAUCUGACUUCCUCCUCAGACCAAGGCAUCCUGAAAACAUCCAAGCAGAGGAAGCAUUUUUUCACCAUGACAUGGGAAAGGGCCACAGAGAUCCAAAUGGAAACGGACAUUUCAUCUAGUUUACAGUGUUCCAUCAAGUUACACAUACAGGUAUACAUUCUUUUUUCUUACAUUAUCAGCUACAUCAUAAGUGACUAGACAUAGUUCCCAAGCUACACAGCAGGAUCUCAUUGAAAAUCCAUUCCAAAGGCAAUAGUCUGCAUCUAUUAACCCCAAGCUGCCAAUCCAUCCCACUCCCUCCGCCUCCCCCUUGGCAACCACAAGUCUAUUAUCCAAGUCCAUGAUUUUCUUUUCUGUGGAAAGGUUCAUUUGUGCCCCAUAUUAAAUCCCAGAUGUAAGUGAUAUCAGAUGGUAUUUGUCUUUCUCUUUCUGACUUACUUCACUCAGGAUGAGAGUCUCUAGUUCCAUCCAGGCUGCCGCAAAUGGCAUGAUUUCAUUCUCUUUUAUGACUGAGUAGUAUUUCAUUGUGUAUUUAUAACACAUCUUCCUAAUCCAAACAUCUGUCAAUGGACAUUUGGGUUGUUUCCACGUAUUGGCUAUUGUGAAUAGU
rnacentral:lncRNA from 1 species